rnacentral:rRNA from 1 species
GAUGAACGCUGGCGGCGUGCCUAAUACAUGCAAGUCGAGCGAACGGACGAGAAGCUUGCUUUUCUGAUGUUAGCGGCGGACGGGUGAGUAACACGUGGAUAACCUACCUAUAAGACUGGGAUAACUUCGGGAAACCGGAGCUAAUACCGGAUAAUAUUUUGAACCGCAUGGUUCAAAAGUGAAAGACGGUCUUGCUGUCACUUAUAGAUGGAUCCGCGCUGCAUUAGCUAGUUGGUAAGGUAACGGCUUACCAAGGCAACGAUGCAUAGCCGACCUGAGAGGGUGAUCGGCAACACUGGAACUGAGACACGGUCCAGACUCCUACGGGAGGCAGCAGUAGGGAAUCUUCCGCAAUGGGCGAAAGCCUGACGGAGCAACGCCGCGUGAGUGAUGAAGGUCUUCGGAUCGUAAAACUCUGUUAUUAGGGAAGAACAUAUGUGUAAGUAACUGUGCACAUCUGGACGGUACCUAAUCAGAAAGCCACGGCUAACUACGU